rnacentral:tRNA from 1 species
GAUCCCGUAGCUCAAUUGGUAGAGCCACCUGCUCAUAACGGGUUGGUUGUCGGUUCGAGCCCGGCCGGGAUUACCA